rnacentral:rRNA from 1 species
CCUACGGGGGGCAGCAGUGGGGAAUCUUCCGCAAUGGGCGCAAGCCUGACGGAGCAAUGCCGCGUGAGUGAAGAAGGCCUUCGGGUUGUAAAACUCUGUCCUACGGGAGGAAAUGACCGUACCUUGACGGUACCUAACGAGGAAGCCACGGCUAACUACGUGCCAGCAGCCGCGGUAAUACGUAGGUGGCAAGCGUUGUCCGGAAUUAUUGGGCGUAAAGCGCGCGCAGGCGGUCUUUUAAGUCUGAUGUGAAAUCUUGCGGCUCAACCGCAAGCGGUCAUUGGAAACUGGGAGACUUGAGUGCAGAAGAGGAAAGCGGAAUUCCACGUGUAGCGGUGAAAUGCGUAGAGAUGUGGAGGAACACCAGUGGCGAAGGCGGCUUUCUGGUCUGUAACUGACGCUGAGGCGCGAAAGCGUGGGGAGCAAACAGGAUUAGAUACCCGAGUAGUC